AUUGAACGCUGGCGGCAGGCCUAACACAUGCAAGUCGAGCGGAUGAAGGGAGCUUGCUCCUGGAUUCAGCGGCGGACGGGUGAGUAAUGCCUAGGAAUCUGCCUGGUAGUGGGGGAUAACGUCCGGAAACGGGCGCUAAUACCGCAUACGUCCUGAGGGAGAAGGUGGGGGAUCUUCGGACCUCACGCUAUCAGAUGAGCCUAGGUCGGAUUAGCUAGUUGGUGGGGUAAAGGCCUACCAAGGCGACGAUCCGUAACUGGUCUGAGAGGAUGAUCAGUCACACUCGAACUGAGACACGCUCCAGACACCUACGGGAGGCAGCAGUGGGGAGAAUUGGACACUGGGCGCAAGCCUGUUACAGACAUACGGCGUGUGUGAAGAAGGUCUUCGGAUUGUAAGGCACUUUAAGUUGGGAGGAAGGGCAGUAAGUUAAUACCUUGCUGUUUUGACGUUACCAACAGAAUAAGCACCGGCUAACUUCGUG
rnacentral:rRNA from 1 species